GGAGGCGUCGCAUAGUGGUCUAGUGCGGCACGGUGCUAACGUGUUAAGGGCUUUAAAACCCUUCAGAGGUUCGAAUCCUCUCGCCUCCGCCA
rnacentral:tRNA from 4 species